rnacentral:rRNA from 1 species
GCCAGACUCCUACGGGAGGCAGCAGUGGGGAAUAUUGCACAAUGGGGGAAACCCUGAUGCAGCAACGCCGCGUGAGUGAGGAAGUAUUUCGGUAUGUAAAGCUCUAUCAGCAGGGAAUAGAAAAGAAGGUACCUGAAAAAGAAGCCCCGGCUAACUACGUGCCAGCAGCCGCGGUAAUACGUAGGUGGCAAGCGUUAUCCGGAUUUACUGGGUGUAAAGGGCGUGUAGGCGGGACUGCAAGUCAGAUGUGAAAACCACGGGCUCAACCUGUGGCCUGCAUUUGAAACUGUAGUUCUUGAGUACUGGAGAGGCAGACGGAAUUCCUAGUGUAGCGGUGAAAUGCGUAGAUAUUAGGAGGAACACCAGUGGCGAAGGCGGCUUGCUGGACGAUGACUGACGUUGAGGCUCGAAAGCGUGGGGAGCAAACAGGAUUAGAUACCCGUGUA